AAAAUGUUGGAGGAGGAAAAAUGUUGGAAGAGGAAAAUCGGUGGAGGAGGAAAAUUUGAAAGGGGGAAUUUGAGAAAGAAGCUUAAUCUAAACAUAGAAAAAAUCUGCAAAUAUAUAGCUCAAACAACCAUGUGAUUUUGACUUCACAACUUUCCCUCCUAAAAGUUUUUUUUUUGAAUUUAACGUUGUGAAGUGAUUUUCACGUCACAACUAAAAUUUUGAAAUGUUGAAAUUU
rnacentral:lncRNA from 1 species